UCUCGUUUAUUUAAUUCUGACAUAAUAUUCGACCACAGAUGUUUUUCGUGACUUUUCUCUCUGUAAAAUUUGGUAUCGGCAAUUAGGUAGAAACACUGAUACGGGGAAAAAUAAAUUAAUUAUGUGUGCAAGGACUGCCGUUUUUGACCCUGUUUUUAUGUAAAGGAAAUGGAGUCAAUGAGUCAAUUCCGUCGACUCCUACAGUGGGAGUCAGGAGUCGGAGUCGACUCCAAAAAACCUGGAAUCUUACACACCUAACAACAACAAAUUGUUCUUUCGCAAAAUGCAUCCGGUUUUGUUUUUAACCACUAGAAGGCCAAAAUGUCUGUGAAUUAAAACGUAACGCCCAACGUGGGGCUCGAACCCACGACCCUGAGAUUAAGAGUCUCAUGCUCUACCGACUGAGCUAGCCGGGCUGGCUGAGCACGGAGCGAACAGAACUCUUUUCACUACCAGAUCCUUCGAUGUUUUCUGUUAUUACCGCAAAGGGUUAAAGGCUCAAAACUGCGUGACGGUAGUUUAUCACGUUAAAAAAUAUAUAUAUUCAGAAAAAAUUUAUCCAGUGAGUUCCUUAUGCUACAUAAGUCAGUGGAUAGUAUUACUAUCGGCUCAGAAUCUGGAUUCGCAGUUCAUGAGAAGCCAUUUACGAGCCAGCCGAAUUUCCACUGCAAGAAAAUGUCCCAAUAAGGCAGCGUUUCCCAGCUGCAGCUGUUUGCGUCCACAGAGAAUUGUCCUGAUGAUGCUGGCAACACACUGCUGUUCCCCGUCAGAGGAAACGGUUUGACCUUUUCAGGAGGUAUGUGUAGCCUAUAGACACGCAGACACACACAUGAAAUCAUAAUCUAUAGGGGCCAUUCUCACAGAAACGAUCAAUAAAUGUUCAGGUCAUAGAAGGUCCAUGUAUGUUCUAGUAGUUAAAUGUAUUAAUUUAAGUUAAAUCAAGUACAUUUAAAAUUAUGGGGAGAAUAACAAUAAUACAUUGUAAAAUAAAAAUUCCACUUUAAUUUUGAUUAAAGACAAGCAUUUGCAAAAAGCUUAAACCAAAAUGUGUGUUAUCACACAUUAGGAACUUCCCUAUCAUUUGUUCCAUUGUAUGCAUUAGUCUGUACUGCCAUCUAGUGGUCAUUAUACACAGCCAUCAUAAGUGGUAGAACAUGAAAACAUGCUAAAUAAAUUUAAUGAAGCCUUUUUUUGAUAAUAAUCAUAAUAGGGCUAUGGUCACAUCUGUUGUACUAACACUUUCUAUUAUCAAUUGUCCUUUGUUCUGCUUACCUUCACAUGAACUGCUUCGGUUUUGAGAGUGGUGGUAUCCCCGUCUCUGUGGCGCAAUCGGUUAGCGCGUUCGGCUGUUAACCGAAAGGUUGGUGGUUCGAGCCCACCCAGGGACGAAAGUAACUUUUGAAGUUGUGAUUAAACCUGUGCUUUUGUUAACUAGAUAAUAAAUACCCCUGUCCUUUCACAUGUUUUCUUUUCUUCAACUCAUUUGAAGUUGUAGGGGAAUUGCAUUUGUGUAUAGGGGAACCCACCCAAAUUUACGUUUUCUGUGUUUUCUAAUAGAUAUUGAGACUAUUCUAUUAACAUGACUAUCAUUUAAACAUUUGUUUUGUCAUAAACUAGCAAACUUAAAUUGUUUUAGUUUUCACUUGACUUUUUAACAUUAAAAGUCUUAAGGUUUAUAAAGAACAUGCUCCAAAUAUAUAAAAUAAUAAUUAAUAUAAAUGAUUCACAAUUUUUUAAAUAAGCACUUCGUUUUGAUUCUUGUUCCUAACUAAUUCUAAACUGUGGAUGUAAAUGGAUGUAUUCUGAGUACAAUAAUGUCAGUAAAUGCAAUUUUAUAGGAGGUUCAGUGAAUUUGUAAUCCUCAUUUGUAAGUCACUUUGGAUAAAAGCACCUUCUAAUGAAUAAAUGUAAAUGAGCUCUUAGCUGAGUGGGCUUAUUAGGAACAAAACAAUGGUAAGCCCACUUCACAAAAAAGUAAUGUUUCUGGGUGAUAAUUACAGAGCAUCAAAUCUUAUAUUGGCUCAAGAAGACUUUUAAAUAUUUCCAUUUAACAGUUUUUAUUAUUUUGUUGUUAUUCUGCUGCAUCAGUCUUUGUGAGCAUCAGUCAGGCAGUGUUGUUUGAGUUGCAGAUACUCAUCAAAUCCAAAUUCAGACUACUGAAGUGACAAAUGAAGUAAAUCACAUUAGGUUGCUUUAAUUAAUUAAUUUUAUAACUUCAAAAUACGUUACAAAAAACAUAUUCACUGUAAAUCAAUUAAUUUAUUUAAUACUUUCUUUCAUUUUUAUAUUUAAGAACAUAUGAACAAGCAGGUUUAUACGAUAAUUAUGUUUAUUAGGGUCACAUUUCCCAUAAUUAAAAAGCAAAAUGGCUCUUAUGAAAGAAUAAUGUACGACUUUUAUGUAGGCCAACUUGAAUUUUUUUAAUGAUAUCCAUAUAUAUGUCCAUUUAUUUGAAGUUAAGAACAUAACUAACAUGAAGUUAGAAAUAUAUGAAUCUGUUGUUGAUGUAGUUCAUCAUAAAUCAUAAUACAAUGAGAAGUGCUGAAGGUUAAAAUACAAGAAAAAAUUAAAUAUGUAUUAGUCUAUUGUUGUUACUUCUAUUGUUGUUAAUUGUUGCACAGUUACUUCCUGGUUGUCGUUAAGACAGUUCGGUCAUUUCCGGUGAACUGUUAGCUGUUCAUUCUGUAGUCACUGUACAACGACACAAAACCAUCAAUGGUUGACUUUUUAAUGUUGUAUUCAUAUUUUAAUGCAGUUUUCACAUUUACCUAAUUUGCAAAUAAACUAGUUUUAUUGAUUGCAAUAAAGAUGAAGCUAAUAGGACCGUUUAAAAAUGCCUUGUCUGUAAUUAGACACACACAUGCAUUUUUUUCCCCCCAGCACUUCAAAUGUUAUUUUGGGUGUGAUGUGAUGACCACAAUUAUUUUUUGUUUAUCCUUCUGAGAUUGUCCCCUUUUUUAAAAUCGAACUAUACAAAAUGCAGGCAAUCCAACAUUUGAUAGAAAACACUUAUAAUAAAAAAGACAUUAAUUACCACUAUAACCAGCAGGUGGCGGCAAAGUAGCAUUUAUUUGUGAAUAUAAGCCAUUUCCUGUAAUAGUUUUCCCCUUAGUUUUGCUUUUUAAUCAAUAUUAAACAUUAUAAAAUAACAUUUAAAAUGUUUAUGUCAAUGUGAAGUAUGAAGUACUCACAAAAUCUCAUGAAAAACAAUUAACUUUUCUUGUGAAUGAAUGACACAGAAAG